GAAAAGUAGCUCAGUUGGUAGAGCAAAAGCACUGAAAGAUUCUAUACUUUUUACCUUGAUUUAAAAUAAAAACAAGUGCCGUAGAGUAGUGUUACUUCGCUAUCACCGACAGGGUCGCAGGUUCGAGUCCUGCCUUUUUAA
rnacentral:tRNA from 1 species